rnacentral:rRNA from 1 species
GGGCCCGCACAAGCAGUGGAGUAUGUGGUUUAAUUCGAAGCAACGCGAAGAAUCUUACCAAGGCUUGACAUGCAACUGAAUACUUAGGAAACUAAGUAGACCUUCGGGACAGUUGUGCAGGUGGUGCAUGGUUGUCGUCAGCUCGUGUCGUGAGAUGUUGGGUUAAGUCCCGCAACGAGCGCAACCCCUGUGAUUAGUUACCAGCACGUAGAGGUGGGCACACUGGUCAGACUGCCGUGAAUAACGCGGAGGAAGGUGGGGACGACGUCAAAUCAUCAUGCCCUAUAUGUCUUGGGCUACACACGUACUACAAUGGGCGUAACAGAGAGAAGCGAAAUAGCGAUAUGGAGCAAAACUUAAAAAGCGUCCACAGUUCGGAUUGAAGGCUGAAAUUCGCCUUCAUGAAGCCGGAAUUGCUAGUAAUGGCAGGUCAGCAUACUG